rnacentral:pre_miRNA from 1 species
CCGACCAUCGCUGCAUCGGUCUACCGAGUAAUAUCAUCCGCUCGGUAGAAGAUCUUACCUUUGUCGU